GACGAACGCUGGCGGCGUGCUUAACACAUGCAAGUCGAACGCUGAAGCUCAGCUUUUGUUGGGUGGAUGAGUGGCGAACGGGUGAGUAACACGUGAGUAACCUGCCCCCCUCUUUGGGAUAACGCCCGGAAACGGGUGCUAAUACUGGAUAUUCACUGGUCUUCGCAUGGGGGUUGGUGGAAAGGGUUUUUCUGGUGGGGGAUGGGCUCGCGGCCUAUCAGCUUGUUGGUGGGGUGAUGGCCUACCAAGGCUUUGACGGGUAGCCGGCCUGAGAGGGUGACCGGUCACAUUGGGACUGAGAUACGGCCCAGACUCCUACGGGAGGCAGCAGUGGGGAAUAUUGCACAAUGGGCGCAAGCCUGAUGCAGCGACGCCGCGUGAGGGAUGGAGGCCUUCGGGUUGUGAACCUCUUUCGCUCAUGGUCAAGCCGCAACAAUGGUUGUGGUGAGGGUAGUGGGUAAAGAAGCGCCGGCUAACUACGUG
rnacentral:rRNA from 1 species